rnacentral:misc_RNA from 3 species
AACGCAUAUUGCGCUCUUUGGUAUUCCGAAGAGCAUGCUUGUUUGAGUAUCAGUAAACACCUCAACCUCUCUUUUUUGAUAAAAAAAAGGGAGGGUGGACUUGAGCUAUCCCAACGACCUUCACCGGUAGGCGGGCGGCUUGAAAUGCAGGUGCAGCUGGACUUUUAUCUGAGCUAAAAGCAUAUCUAUUUAGUCCUCGUCAAACAGGAUUAUUACUUUUGCUGCAGCUAACAUAAAGGAUAAUUGUCCUCUUUGCUGACUGAUGCAGGAUUUUACGACACUUUAUGUGUUGUUCAACUCGAUCUCAAAUCAAGUAAGACUACCCGCUGAACUUAA